UCCCUGGUGGUCCAGUGGUCUAAGACUCCACAUUCCCAAUGCAGGCGGCCCAGGUUCGAUCCCUGGUCAGGGAA
rnacentral:tRNA from 1 species